rnacentral:rRNA from 1 species
GCGAACGGCUCAUUACAAUGGCCAUGAUUUACUUGAUCUUGAUCAAUCCUAAAUGGAUAACUGUGGAAAAUCUAGAGCUAAUACAUGCCCUAAAGCUAUGUCCUUYGGAAUAGUGCAUUUAUUAGAACAAAACCAAGCGGCUUCGGCUGCUUUUUGGUGAUUCAGAAUAACUAAGCUGACCGCAUGGCCUUGUGCCGGCGGCGUGUCUUUCAAGUGUCCACUUUAUCAACUUGACGGGAGCAUAAUCGACUCCCGUGGUGGUGACGGAUAACGGAGGAUCAGGGUUCGACUCCGGAGAAGGGGCCUGAGAAAUGGCCACUACGUCUAAGGAUGGCAGCAGGCGCGCAAAUUACCCACUCUCGGCUCGAGGAGGUAGUGACGAGAAAUAACGAGAUYGUUCUCUUAUGAGGCCKGUCAUCGGAAUGGGUACAAUUUAAACCCUUUAACGAGUAUCAAGCAGAGGGCAAGUCUGGUGCCAGCAGCCGCGGUAAUUCCAGCUCUGCCAAUGCAUAGACUUAUUGCUGCGGUUAAAAAGCUCGUAGUUGGAUCUGUUUCGAUAUCCUGGAACCCUUUCGAGGUGUUUCUAGGUUUUAUCGAUUUUUCGUAAUGUUUCGGACUUGAAUUCUUACAAGAGUUCAUUUCUAGACAUUGCAGGUUUACUUUGAACAAAUCAGAGUGCUUCAAACAGGCGUUUUCGCUUGAAUGAUCGUGCAUGGAAUAAUAGAAAACGAUUUCGGUUCAGUUUUAUUGGUUUUACGGACUGAGAUAAUGGUUAACAGAGACAAACGGGGGCAUUUGUAUGGCCCCGUGAGAGGUGAAAUUCUUGGACCGUGGCCAGACAAACUACAGCGAAAGCAUUUGCCAAGAAUGUCUUCAUUAAUCAAGAACGAAAGUCAGAGGUUCGAAGGCGAUCAGAUACCGCCCUAGUUCUGACCGUAAACGAUGCCAACUAGCGAUCCGCCGAUGGAGAUUAUAUUGCCUUGGUGGGGAGCUUCCCGGAAACGAAAGUCUUCCGGUUCCGGGGGAAGUAUGGUUGCAAAGCUGAAACUUAAAGGAAUUGACGGAAGGGCACCACCAGGAGUGGAGCCUGCGGCUUAAUUUGACUCAACACGGGGAAACUCACCCGGCCCGGACACUGUGAGGAUUGACAGAUUGAUAGCUUUUUCAUGAUUCAGUGGAUGGUGGUGCAUGGCCGUUCUUAGUUCGUGGAGUGAUUUGUCUGGUUUAUUCCGAUAACGAGCGAGACUCUAACCUACUAAAUAGCUGAUACAUAUUUUUUGUGUAUUCGGCUUCUUAGAGGGAUUUGCGGUGUUCAGCCGAAAGAAAUUGAGCAAUAACAGGUCUGUGAUGCCCUUAGAUGUCCGGGGCUGCACGCGCGCUACACUGGCAAAAUCAACGUGCUUGUCCUGCCCCGAAAGGGGUGGGUAAACCAUUGAAAAUUUGCCGUGAUUGGGAUCGGAAAUUGCAAUUAUUUUCCGUGAACGAGGAAUUCCAAGUAAGUGCGAGUCAUCAGCUCGCGUUGAUUACGUCC